AGCCCGGUGGUGUAGCGGUCAAGCACAGGUGAGAUGCCUCUUGAAUAUCGGCCUUUGGAGCCGGUGACGCCAGUUCGAAUCUGGCCCGGGCUACCA
rnacentral:tRNA from 1 species